UCACCGGACACGGGGUGCCCCGCCAGGGGCUGAGAUCACACCCGUCGAACCUGAACCAGCUCGUACUGGCGGAGGGAUGUCUUCCAUGUCAUUG
rnacentral:ncRNA from 2 species